AAUCAACGCUGGCGGCGUGCCUCAGACAUGCAAGUCGAACGCGAAAGGUUCCUUCGGGGACCGAGUAGAGUGGCGCACGGGUGAGUAACACGUAGGUAAUUUGCCUUUGGGUGGGGAAUAACUCAGGGAAACUUGAGCUAAUACCGCAUAAUGCAGCGGCUCGACAUCGAGACAGUUGUUAAAGCGGGGGAUUCGCAAGAACCUCGCGCCUAAAGAGAAGCCUGCGGCAGAUAGCUAGUUGGUAAGGUAAUGGCUUACCAAGGCGACGAUCUGUAACCGGCCUGAGAGGGCGGUCGGUCACACUGACACUGACAUACGGGUCAGACUCCUACGGGAGGCAGCAGUCGGGAAUUUUGGGCAAUGGGCGAAAGCCUGACCCAGCAACGCCGCGUGAAGGAUG
rnacentral:rRNA from 1 species